AAGACUGUACUUAUACAGGAUCUUUCUUAUAGUAAUUACUUACUGUAAGUUUCUUCAUUUGAAGACAACAACUCAAUCUAGGAUGAUUAAAAGGACACUCUCAUCCGUAAAUGGGAUACAGAAACCAUUAGUAUUUUAUUCUCUUCGGAGAAUAGGUAUUUUUGCGUUUCACGAUGAUCAUCCAUCGCUGUGUUUGACCGAUCGUCUAUACGAAAAGUCACCAGUGGUUGGAGGGUGUGAGUGCUUCUGACUAGAU
rfam:Tetrahymena thermophila SB210 genomic scaffold scf_8254676, whole genome shotgun sequence.